rnacentral:rRNA from 1 species
AUUGAACGCUGGCGGCAUGCUUUACACAUGCAAGUCGAACGGCAGCGCGGGCUUCGGCCUGGCGGCGAGUGGCGAACGGGUGAGUAAUGCAUCGGAACGUGCCCAGUAGUGGGGGAUAGCCCGGCGACAGCCGGAUUAAUACCGCAUACGACCUGAGGGUGAAAGCGGGGGACCGAAAGGCCUCGCGCUCUUGGAGCGGCCGAUGUCGGAUUAGCUAGUUGGUGGGGUAAAGGCUUACCAAGGCGACGAUCCGUAGCUGGUCUGAGAGGACGACCAGCCACACUGGGACUGAGACACGGCCCAGACUCCUACGGGAGGCAGCAGUGGGGAAUUUUGGACAAUGGGGGCAACCCUGAUCCAGCCAUGCCGCGUGCGGGAAGAAGGCCUUCGGGUUGUAAACCGCUUUUGUUCGGGAAGAAAUCCUCUGGGCUAAUACCCCGGGGGGAUGACGGUACCGGAAGAAUAAGCACCGGCUAACUACGUG